rnacentral:rRNA from 1 species
GUGCAAAGGUAGCAUAAUCAUUUGCCCCUUAAUUCGGGGCUAGUAUGAAUGAACCCUCCUAAAGCUAACUUUAUUUUCUUAUAGUAUAAAAACUUACUUUUAGGUGAAGAGGCCUAAAUUUUACUAAAAGACAAGAAGACCCUGUCAAGCUUUAAUAAGCUAAUAUUUUAUAAUAUUAAUUCCUUUAGUUGGGGCGACAAGAAAUAAAACUUAUCAUUUCCUUAUAACUAGAUAUAUAUAUCUCACUAAUUAACUUAAAUAUAAAAAUAAGAAAGCUACUGCAGGGAUAACAGGCUAAUACUUUUUUAG